rnacentral:rRNA from 1 species
UCGCCAUUGGAUGGGCCCGCGUCGGAUUAGCUAGUUGGUGAGGUAAUGGCUCACCAAGGCGACGAUCCGUAGCUGGUCUGAGAGGAUGAUCAGCCACACUGGGACUGAGACACGGCCCAG